rnacentral:rRNA from 1 species
GACGAACGCUGGCGGCGUGCUUAACACAUGCAAGUCGAACGGAAAGGCCCUGCUUGCAGGGUGCUCGAGUGGCGAACGGGUGAGUAACACGUGGGUGAUCUGCCCCUUACUUUGGGAUAAGUCUGGGAAACUGGGUCUAAUACUGGAUAGGACCAUGCUGUAGGUGGUGUGGUGGAAAGAUUAGUUUCGGUAAGGGAUGAGCUCGCGGCCUAUCAGCUUGUUGGUGGGGUAAUGGCCUACCAAGGCGUCGACGGGUAGCCGGCCUGAGAGGGUGGACGGCCACAUUGGGACUGAGAUACGGCCCAGACUCCUACGGGAGGCAGCAGUGGGGAAUAUUGCACAAUGGGCGCAAGCCUGAUGCAGCGACGCCGCGUGGGGGAUGACGGCCUUCGGGUUGUAAACUCCUUUCAGCCAUGACGAAGCCCUUGUGGUGACGGUAGUGGUAGAAGAAGCACCGGCUAACUACGUG